rnacentral:rRNA from 1 species
UGCCAGCAGCCGCGGUAAUACGGAGGUUGCAAGCGUUAUUCGGAAUUAUUGGGCGUAAAGGGCGCGCAGGCGGUCUUGUCCGUCAGGUGUGAAAGCUCGGGGCUCAACCCCGGAAGUGCACUUGAAACAGCAAGACUUGAAUACGGGAGAGGAAAGCGGAAUUCCUGGUGUAGAGGUGAAAUUCGUAGAUAUCAGGAGGAACACCGAUGGCGAAGGCAGCUUUCUGGACCGAUACUGACACUCAGAUGCGAAAGCGUGGGGAGCAAACAGGAUUAGAUA